rnacentral:rRNA from 1 species
GACGUACUUGUACUGAUUGAGAUUUUAACACGAAGUGAGUGGCGAACGGGUGAGUAACACGUGGGUAACCUGCCCAGAAGUAGGGGAUAACACCUGGAAACAGAUGCUAAUACCGUAUAACAGAGAAAACCGCAUGGUUUUCUUUUAAAAGAUGGCUCUGCUAUCACUUCUGGAUGGACCCGCGGCGUAUUAGCUAGUUGGUGAGGUAAAGGCUCACCAAGGCAGUGAUACGUAGCCGACCUGAGAGGGUAAUCGGCCACAUUGGGACUGAGACACGGCCCAGACUCCUACGGGAGGCAGCAGUAGGGAAUCUUCCACAAUGGACGCAAGUCUGAUGGAGCAACGCCGCGUGAGUGAAGAAGGGUUUCGGCUCGUAAAGCUCUGUUGUUAAAGAAGAACGUGGGUAAGAGUAACUGUUUACCCAGUGACGGUAUUUAACCAGAAAGCCACGGCUAACUACGUGCCAGCAGCCGCGGUAAUACGUAGGUGGCAAGCGUUAUCCGGAUUUAUUGGGCGUAAAGCGAGCGCAGGCGGUCUUUUAAGUCUAAUGUGAAAGCCUUCGGCUCAACCGAAGAAGUGCAUUGGAAACUGGGAGACUUGAGUGCAGAAGAGGACAGUGGAACUCCAUGUGUAGCGGUGAAAUGCGUAGAUAUAUGGAAGAACACCAGUGGCGAAGGCGGCUGUCUGGUCUGCAACUGACGCUGAGGCUCGAAAGCAUGGGUAGCGAACAGGAUUAGAUACCCUGGUAGUCCAUGCCGUAAACGAUGAUUACUAAGUGUUGGAGGGUUUCCGCCCUUCAGUGCUGCAGCUAACGCAUUAAGUAAUCCGCCUGGGGAGUACGACCGCAAGGUUGAAACUCAAAAGAAUUGACGGGGGCCCGCACAAGCGGUGGAGCAUGUGGUUUAAUUCGAAGCUACGCGAAGAACCUUACCAGGUCUUGACAUCUUCUGACAGUCUAAGAGAUUAGAGGUUCCCUUCGGGGACAGAAUGACAGGUGGUGCAUGGUUGUCGUCAGCUCGUGUCGUGAGAUGUUGGGUUAAGUCCCGCAACGAGCGCAACCCUUAUUACUAGUUGCCAGCAUUAAGUUGGGCACUCUAGUGAGACUGCCGGUGACAAACCGGAGGAAGGUGGGGACGACGUCAAAUCAUCAUGCCCCUUAUGACCUGGGCUACACACGUGCUACAAUGGAUGGUACAACGAGUCGCGAGACCGCGAGGUUAAGCUAAUCUCUUAAAACCAUUCUCAGUUCGGACUGUAGGCUGCAACUCGCCUACACGAAGUCGGAAUCGCUAGUAAUCGCGGAUCAGCAUGCCGCGGUGAAUACGUUCCCGGGCCUUGUACACACCGCCCGUCACACCAUGAGAGUUUGUAACACCCAAA